CGAGGUUUGAUCAUGGCUACAGAACGAACGCUGGCGGCAUGCCUAACACAUGCAAGUCGAACGAGACCUUCGGGUCUAGUGGCGCACGGGUGCGUAACGCGUGGGAAUCUGCCCUUAGGUACGGAAUAACUCAGAGAAAUUUGUGCUAAUACCGUAUGAUGUCGAAAGACCAAAGAUUUAUCGCCUAAGGAUGAGCCCGCGUAAGAUUAGCUUGUUGGUGAGGUAAAAGCUCACCAAGGCGACGAUCUUUAGCUGGUCUGAGAGGAUGAUCAGCCACACUGGGACUGAGACACGGCCCAGACUCCUACGGGAGGCAGCAGUGGGGAAUAUUGGACAAUGGGCGAAAGCCUGAUCCAGCAAUGCCGCGUGAGUGAUGAAGGCCUUAGGGUUGUAAAGCUCUUUUACCAGGGAUGAUAAUGACAGUACCUGGAGAAUAAGCUCCGGCUAACUCCGUG
rnacentral:rRNA from 1 species